UACGAAGGGUGCAAGCGUCAAUCGGAAUUACUGGGCGUAAAGCGCGCGUAGGUGGUUCAGUAAGUUGGAAGUGAAAUCCCCGGGCUCAACCUGGGAACUGCUUUCAAAACUGCUGAGCUAGAGUACGGUAGAGGGUGGUGGAAUUUCCUGUGUAGCGGUGAAAUGCGUAGAUAUAGGAAGGAACACCAGUGGCGAAGGCGACCACCUGGACUGAUACUGACACUGAGGUGCGAAAGCGUGGGGAGCAAACAGG
rnacentral:rRNA from 1 species